CCCUCUUCAUCCCGCCUCUUCGCUCCCUUCCGCCCCGCCCCGGACCGUCGCCCCCUCCCCCAGUCCUCUCCCGUCCCUUCCCCCUUUGCUCCCGCCCAUCCCACCCGGAGCCUCGUCCCCUCGCUCCCUUCACCUUUGCCUGUCGCUGUCCCCACUUCUUUCCCCGCGGUUCUCCCGCUCCUGAUGUGUUGUUUACCCUCCCCGCUCCUUCUCGUCGGCUGCUUCCCACUCUUAACUCCCAGUCUCGUUUCAACUCUCUUGCCGCCCCGCACCUGAGGGCUUCCCGUGCAGUGUCCUGAAGGAGCUGACAGUAGUUUUGGGAGACGCUGAGCAAGUCAUCGUCUGGGCUAGUGUGUCCCAUCCGAGGUCUCUGCAAAAGGGACUGGCCGUUGGCGCCUCUCUCUGCAAGGAAGGCGACAGAAGUUGUGUCAGUGAGGCCUUGACUUUGGGCUAGAAGCUGACUUUGGGCAAAAGUGUUGUUAGAAAUAUCAGCCGCCUUGUCUACACGUGUAUGUUUCUUCUCCCCCUGCCCCCCGCCCCCCGGCCCCGUAUUGCAGAUUCCUGGAUUUUGAAUGAGGGACUGAGAUGAUCAGCGAGCUGAUGGUCCAGAGAUGGUUCUUGUUGGAAAGCUGCAACUUCUCGAGGGUUUAUUUCAUGUUUAGUAUUUUGUGAGAUUGGGUUGUAGUUUGGAAGGAACUGAAGGGGCUUCACUGAUAGGAACAUUGCCUUGCAUAAUCUGCGAGAUAAAGUAGGAGUCUAUCCAGGGAGGAGCUAUUGUGGGCUCUCGGGAGAAUGAAAGCGAGGCUGAUACUUUACAGGGCAUGCUGAGUUGUAAGUAGGUUUUCAGUGGCUGUUCUUAAAACUUGCAAGGCAGCCGCCAGUUUCAGGAGGAAUUGGGAAGACCAUGAGGGGUUGUGUCUGUCUCUUACAAGAUGAUCCUGUACCCUUAGGAGAUUUGAGUAUGGUCUUGGUUUUUGAAACACUUGAAGGUAGAAUGCUGUCCAUUGUGUCACUUUUUUUUUUUUUUUUUUGGUAACAUGUAUUUCUUUGGUCCUGAAAAAGAAAAAGGAGGGGAGAAAUCUGUCCAACACCAUCGUGUGCUGGGAUAGGCUACUUCGCUGGAGUGGCACUGGCUGUGCAAAGAGCCAACAGGGUUCCAUUGGGUUGGGUUCUAGUGAGGGCUGUGUUUGCUGCCAGUUCUGUGACCUUGGGGAAAUCUUUUAACCUCUCUGGGCUUCAGUUUCACCCCUUGUUUAUUCAACACGUGUUAAUUGAGAACCAGCUAUAUGUCUGGAGGCUCUGAGAUGAACGAAACUCAGGAAGCUUCUGCCCUCACGGAGUUUCUGUUUAGUUGGAAGGCAACUGAUCAGCAAAUGAAACCAUAUAAUAUAAUGGCCUAUUGUGGGAACUGCUGAGAGGAGAAAUCCAUCAGGGUACAAGAAUAGAGUGGUGGAGAAUGCUGCUUUAGGUCGGCGCUUUAGGUGAGGCCUCUGGGAGGUGAGAGAUGAGUGGUUGAAUGAAGUCAGGAAUGACACAUAGUUUCUGUAAUUCCUUGUCAGUCUAUAUGUCUAUGGUUAUGUGUUUAUAUGUUUUGGCUGUGUUUUCAUCCCUACUGGCAUGUUGCUUUAAAAGCUGGUCUGUUGGUAUUUGUAAGUUUUCUCAUGGUUAUGGCCAUGUCUCUGUGGUACCCAACACAUUCGAAUGUUUAUGCAUUUACCUUUUUCGCUGUGUAUUCUAUAAAUGAGCUUGUGGAUUUCAGGCUUCAAAGAAGUAUUAAAGACUAGGUGUGACUUUCUUUAAAACAAACAUUUUUCAUUUUUUUUUUUUUGAGAGACACAGAGACAAAUCUUCCAUCUGCUGGUUCACUCUCCAAGUGCCUACAAUAGCCAGGGCUGGACCAGACUGAAGCCAGUAUCCCAGAACUCAAUCCCAGUCUUCAGCAUGAGUGGCAGGCACCCAAGUACUUGAGCCAAGUACUCACAAGGGUCUGCAUGAGCAGGAAGCUGAGACCAAGAGCUGGAGCCAGGAAUUGAACCCAGGCCCUCUGAUGUGAGACAUGUUUAUCUUAACUGGCAUUUUAACUGCUAGGCUAAAUGCCAUCCCUUGAACACUACCUUUUUUUUUUUUUUUUUUUUUUUUUACAGGCAGAGUGGACAGUGAGAGAGAGACAGAGAGAAAGGUCUUCCUUUGCUGUUGGUUCACCCUCCAAUGGCGCACCGCGCUGAUCCGUAGCCAGGAGCCAGGUACUUCUCCUGGUCUCCCAUGGGGUGCAGGGCCCAAGUACUUGGGCCAUCCUCCACUGCACUCCCUGGCCACAGCAGAGAGCUGGCCUGGAAGAGGGGCAACCAGGACAGAAUCCGGCGCCCCGACCGGGACUAGAACCUGGUGUGCCGGCGCCGCAAGGUGGAGGAUUAGCCUAUUGAGCCGCGGCGCCGGCCCCCUGAACACUACUUUUUUAAAAUAGUAUCUUUCGAUUUGUUCUCAAAUUAGGCUUACCCAGAGAAGUUUAAAAAAUGAGUUGUAUAUUAUCUGAAUAGAGUAAGUGUUAUGUAUUUUGGGGAAACAGGUUUUAUGAUAAUCUGUGAUCUUUGUCCCCCUUAGUGUAAUUGAAAAAAAUUAUUCAUUUCUUUAACAUUGGAUUGUUAAAUUUGAACGUUUCUCUUCAUGUCCUUGAAAACAGUAGGAAGUAAGAGUUGAGUAAAUUGUGGUGAAAUAUGGAUCAGUUGAUGCUCUUUUUAAUUUUUAUAUCUCUACUCAAGUCAUUAAAACCAAAGUCAACAAAAUGCCUUCAAGAUUAAGUCUAACUCGUCCCUUCAGGAACCUGUCAAUCCUGCUCCUUCCUAGUUGCCAGUCAGAGUUGUGAAAGGCAGUUCCAGCUCUCACAGUAGUCUGCCUUGGCCACUUUCCUCCUCCUUCAGAUCUUGGGGCAAGGAAACAGCCACAUUGUACCAAAAACUUCCUUGUCAUUUACUAUGGUACUUGAAAAAGUUUGUUGAAAAUAGAAUGAAAUUAAUUUUAUUUUGUGCAAAAUAAUUUUGAAACGAUAUAUAUAAGGGAUUUUAGAAAAUGCACACUAUGAAAAAAUGCAUGGAUUUAAAAAAAUUUUUGCACCAAAAUAAGCUUUUUUAAAAUCCCAUUUCCCUUUCACUUUCUGAAGUACUCUUGUGAUUUUUGGAUACCCAUCUAAUUAAUGGACUCUCUUUGUACUUUUGAUAAUGCUUGCCUGUCUACCCCUGUCCCCCACCUCAGAUCCAGAUGAGAAUAGGCAAUUCAUAGGAAAGAAAAAGUAAGAUUAGGAUUAUUAUCGUGUUUUACAUUUGUGAAAGGGAUUGAAAAUAUUUUCUGGAUGUGAGACAUGUUCUAGAUGACCUAAAAGAAACAUGCAGUCUAGUUAGUAUGAUAGAACGUCCUCAUGUGGAAGAAUCAGAAUAUUUGCCAUGGGAAAGAGUUAAUUUUCUUAGAAAAGCAUGAGAGAGAAGAGCUAGGAGUGAAUGUGGAGGACAGCAGGAACUUUGUGAGGUCAUGAGAACUGAAGGCUUAAUGUUUGAAAAUGAGUGACUUAGGGAAUAGUAUGUAAGUAAAAAAUUGAAAGCGAUCGGUCCUAGAUUUUGGUGGUGUAUUUGUGGAGUGAAGAAGGGUCUGAUACUUACCUGGAAAUGCUAGAGUUGUGUGAAUAAGGGCGAUAAGAUCGAGUAGCUCAGGGCAUGUGGUGAGGAGGCCAUAUACUGGCGUGUUCAGGAAUUUGGGUUUUGGCAUUAGUAGUUUGUGUUUUCAUUCAGCAAAUAUUUUUCAAGUACACACCUCAUGCCAGGUUUUGUUCUAGGCACUGGGGAUAAAACAGUGGGGGAGAAACAGAUUUUAACCUUGUGAGGUUUAAAUUGGGGGGGCAGAUAGACAAAGAUAACUGAAUAGGUAAAGUGUUGGAAGAUAGUAAAUGCUCUGAUAGAGUAAGGGGGAAUGACAUGCUGGAGAGAGUGGAAUGGGGAAGAAAGGCUUCACUUAUAGGUGCCCUUUGAGCUCAGACCUGAAAAGGUGAUAUUUGAGGAAGGGAAAGAGCAUUCUUGACAGGGAGCGGCUGGAGGAAGGAAGCUUACUUCCACAGUUUGAGGAAGAGCAGGGGUCAAAUGUUACUGGAGUGGAGGAAGAGAGUGGAAGAAAUGAUGUCAGAGAAAUACUGAGUCUUGUCCAUUGUGAGGACUUUGGAUUUUAGCCAGCAAGGCAGGUAGUCAUUGGAAUAUUUUGACAGAGGAGUCAUAUCAUUUUGAUCUUUUUAAGAUUUUUAUUUACUUGAAAGGCAGAGUGAUAGAGAAGGGAAAAGAGAGAAGAGAGAUUUUCCAUCAAAUGGUUUACUUCCCAGAUGCCCACGAAAACUAGGACAGGGCAAGGUUGAAGCCAGAAGCCAGUAAUUCCAUCUGGGUCUCCCAUGCAGGAUCCCAAGUGCUUGGGCCAUCAUCUGCUGCCUCCCAGAUGCAUUGGUAGGAAGCAGAAUAACCAGGACAAGAAUUGGCACUCCAGUAUGGGAUCCUGAGUGUCCCACGUGUUGGCUUAACCUGCUGUGGCACAGUGUCCUCCCUGGUAUCAUUUUGAAAGGGAGCCUUUAAAAGGAUUCAUAGUGGACUUGGAGGGAAGACAAGGGUUGAAAAAGAAGAGUAGUUAGGAGACUGUUUUAAUUAAUUCAGAAUGGGGAUGAACUAGAGAGGUAGCCAUGAGAUAUGUGAACAUAUAUUUUAAUAUUCAAAAUGUAAUGAAUUCUGAAUCCAGUUUUGAGGUAUAAUCAGCAAAGUGUGUUAAGAGUUAGUGAGAUUUCAUAAGAUGGCUUAUGAAUAUUUAUUUGAAAAGCAGAGCAACAGGGAGAAGGAAAGGGAGAGAGAGAGAGAGAGAGAAAGAAAGAAAGGAAGGUAUCUUCCAUCUGUAGGUUUACUCCCCAAGUGGCCACAACAGCCAAAUCUGGGCCAGACCAAAGGCAGGAGUCCAAAACUCCGUCCUGGUCUUUUAUGUGCGUGUCAGGUACCCAAGUACUUGGGCCAUAAUCUGCUGCCUCUCAGGGCACUGGAAUGAAGCUGAUUCGGAAGUGGAGGCAGGACUCAAUCCCAGGCACUCAGAUACAGCAUGUGGGCAUCCCAAGCUACAACUUAACCUGCUGCUUCGCAAUGCCCUCCUUAACUGCAGCCUUUAAAUUUGCAGCAGGUGAAUCCCAUUGUGGUAUGAUUUUGUGAGCAGGUUCAUGUUUUCAUUGUGUGCAUAUCCUUGAUACUUUCAUAAUGUUUAAUUAUAUUUUGGAAAGUUUAUAUCCUAUUAUUUGUCAUUAAUUCUGUGUUUUUCAGUGUUAGCUGUUGUAUUAGAAUAAUCUGAGAGAACCUUUAAAAAUGCCCAUUCUCUAGCUUUUUCCAAAUAAUUUAAAUCAGAAUCUUGGGUAUUAGGAUCCCUAACAUUAGUGUUUUUUGAGCUUUCCAGUAGUUCUAAUAUGCAACAAGGUUUGCGAACCAGUGUUAUAAUUGAUAUAUGUAUUAUGUGUAUAUGUGUGUGUAUUUAUACAUAAAUACAUGUACACAGUUAUAUGUAGACAUAUACACAGUGUAUAUAAACAAAGCUUGAUGAUUUCAACACUUGUGGUAUUCCAUAUAUGGAUAGCAUUUGGAAUAUAAUUUGUGUUAUGCUUCCAUUGUUCUUUCUAAUGGUUGCUAGCAUUUUAUUUUUAGAUAGUAGACUAUUAAUGAUUUGCGUCACCUUCUGAGAGAUAUAAUAAUAAUCUUUGCACUGGAAUGAACUUUGGAAAUAAUCAGCUUCAACCUUCUUUUAUAGGUAAAGUGGUUAAAUGAUCAAGAAUGAAACAGAUUCUGUACAAACUCCUUAAGUCUUCAGAUAUCAUUACACCUUUCUUUAUCAUUACACCUUUCUUUUAAAGCCUUUCCAGAUAUAUUAUCUCGUUUGAUCCUUGCAAUUUCCUAAGUUAAUCAGACUUACUUUUAAUAAAAAGAAAAAUGUUAGCCAUACUGAUACUUACCAUUUUUCUUAAAGAGUUGAGAAGGCAUAGCAAGUGAGUGAGAGACUGAUUUAUUCUCCAAGUGGCCACAACAGCCAGUUCUGGGCCAAGUCAAUUUCAGGAUCCUUGAACUCCAUCCGGAUCUCUUAUGUGGGUAGCAGCACCCUAAGUACUUGGGCCAUGUCCUGGUGCCUUCCGAAGCAUAUUAGCGAAGAGCUGGAUGGGAAGGAGAGCAGUGAGGACUUGAACCACGACUCUGAUAAGGGAUGCUGACAUCAAGGCAGGGUUGCAAGCAGCAGCUGAACUCCGGCCCCUCGUUUUUCUUUUUUUAAAAUGAUAGUUACAGGCAUUUUACAGUGUUUUGCUGUUUCCUAGCUUGCUUAAGAUUCAUACUCGGCCGGCGCCGCGGCUCACUAGGCUAGUCCUCCGCCUUGUGUUGUCGGCACACCGGGUUCUAGUCCCGGUCGGGGCGCCAGAUUCUGUCCCGGUUGCCCCUCUUCCAGGCCAGCUCUCUGCUGUGGCCCGGGAGUGCAGUGGAGGAUGGCCCAAGUGCUUGGGAGACCAGGAGAAGCACCUGGCUCCUGCCAUCGGAUCAGCGCGGUGCGCCGGCUGCAGCACGCUGCCUGCGGUGGCCAUUGGAGAGUGAACCAACGGCAAAAGGAAGACCUUUCUCUCUGUCUCUCCCUCUCACUGUCCACUCUGCCUGUCAAAAAAAAAAAAAAAAAAAAAGGAAAAAAAAAGGAUUCAUACUUAAAAUCUUCUCUGUCUUUAGUAUUUUGUCGUUUCACUAUGAUGUGUCAGUAUAGGUUUGUUUUGUUUAGAACUUUGUUAGGUUCCUUGAAUCUGUGGAUUGGCAUCUCGUUUGUUCUGCAAAAUUCUCAGUUAUUACCUCUUUAAAUUUAUUUUCUGUUACAUUUUUGGGGUCUCUGUUACACGUAUCUUAGGCCCUUUUUCAUUUUUUGCUCUACAUUUUCUUUUCUUUCUUUCUUUUUUUAUUUUUUUAAGAUUUAUUUGUUUGAAAGGUAGAGUUAACAGACAGAGGUAGAGAGAGUGAGAGAGAGGUCUUCUGUCUGCUGAUUCACUCACCAAAUGGCCCAAACAACCAGAGCUGGGCGAGGCUGAAGCCAGGAGCCAGGAGCCAGGAGCUUCUUCUGGGUCUUCCACAUGGGUUCAGGGGCCCAAGGACUUGGACCAUCUUCUGCUUUCCAGACUCAUUAGUAGAGAGCUGGAUUGGAAGUGGAGCAGCUGGGACUUGAACUGUUGCCCAUAUGGGAUGCUGGUGCUGCAGGCUGGGGAUUUAACCCACUGCCCCACAGUGCUGCCCCCCACCCCUUUAA